rnacentral:lncRNA from 10 species
CAACCUCCCCAUCCACCAAAGACUCACCAAGUGCUGUUGGAGCAACUUACGCCACCCUGCCAUCACCCCACGCUUUGCCAGUCCUCUGCCAAAAAGCCAUUCAAAUGGCAGGAACAAGAGAAGGAGAGAGUGACUGGGAGCCUAGCCAAACCAGAGUUGAUCAUCUUGAAAAAAGUGAUUUAAUAUUCAUGAAGCUUUUAAAAACAGUUCUUAGCACUUAGUAUGUGUGAAAUAAAUAAAGAAAUACACAAAUCAAUCAGCUCCCGAAUGACAAGCACAGGCGAGGCAGGACACUGGUCAUACGUGGCUGGCCUGUCUGGAGCUGCCUGGGUGCUGAUGCCCUGGGCAUCUGGCCGGCACCUUCUACCAGGGCUGGUGAAAUGUCCCUCCGGAGGAGCAGCAGCUCUUUAGGCCAUUUUAAGCCACGGAAUCUAGGAAACGUGAGGCCAAGCGCUGUGGCUCUCUGGACGCACUGUUGUUGCCGCGUUCCCAUGGUCUCCCAGCCACACAGGUCAUGAGAAGGCCUCACGCCCCUUAAUCCUGUGUCACCACCUUUCAUAUAACUUGCCCUACGCUCACUGCCAAUGCUCCAGGGCUCCCUGCACAGGACGCACCAAGGCAUCCUCAGCCAAGUGCCCACGGUCGUGCCAGCUCGGGUCAAAGGCUGCUGUCACAUCGGGGCUUCUGACUGCACCAUUGUGUCUCGACAAUGGCCAUCGGACCAGGUAUUGGGGAUGCGAAGGUGGGGCUGGGAGAGCCUACUUGAUCAUUCUCCUCCUUGGGUGAACCAGGUGUGACUCAGAUCAAAGGGGUUGUAGAAUUACUUCAAGUUUAAAUGGAGCCAGCCCCUCAACCCCUUCCUCCCUGUGCAGGUGACUCACUAGGAGGGAACCUUGUUUAGCUGCUUCUUCCUCCCUUAAGAUGCAGGCCUCAGCCUUGGCCACUUAAGAACCACCUGUGGGCUGGGUGCAGUGGCUCACACCUGUAAUCCCAGCACUUUGGGAGACUAAGGCUUGCGGAUCACCUGAGGUCAGGAGUUUGAGACCAGACUGACCAACAUGGUGAAACCCUGUCUCUACUAAAAAUACAGAAAUUAGCCAGGCGUGGUGGUGCACGCCUGUGAUCCCAGCUACUUGGGAGGCUGAGGCAGGAAAAUCACUUGAACCUGGGAGGCAGAGGUUGCAGUGAGCCAAGAUUUCACCUCUGCCCUCCAGACUGGGCAAUAGAGCAAGACCCCAUCUCAAAAAAAAAAAAAAAAAAGAUCCACCUGGGGCUGGAGAGGCGUGAGUCCCAGAUUGCACCCAGGCCAACUGGAGUGCCCAGGUGAUGUCAGUGUGUACCCACGGCUGACAACUGACACUCCGCAAAGGAUGGCUGAGUCCUGUAGUAUGAAUGACAACAGACAGGCCCAUCCCCCCGGGGGCAAAGGAGUAGACAGGACCAGGGAAAGCCACAGGCUGGACGAUGCAACACUAAAGCCAAGAGUGAACUGUAGCACAAAGGUAUCAUAGCAUGCAGGGCGGAGGAUCCCAAGAAAGCAUCCAAGAUUUCAAAUUUUCUGAACACUGAGAAAGCGCUGAGGAAAUUGGGCCUGACAAGCACCAAAGACUCUGUUGAAACACAGGACACUGGCAGCUUCAGGCAGCGCCUCUAUAAUAGAGCAGUCACUGGGAUGUGCUGGUGUUUAGGUCUGGUGGGGGCAGCUCUCCACAGGUCUCUCACAUUUUUGCACAUCUUGCAGACAGAGGAGCUGAUGGCCCUUUCUCUGGACCAUCCUCUCAAGGGUGCUUCUACAGCAAGCGCCUUGGAAGACGGGGACAUGGUCUCCCCUGGAGCAGAGAGCAGGUGUGAUUACUGCCCAUGACAAAACGCUUGGGUCUCGGAAGCCCAGGCUUCCUCUCCCACAGUGCAGCCCGCUGAGUGGACAGGCAUCUGUUCAGGCCCAACUGUGCUGCCCCUGCUGGCUAGGGGACGAGGGAAUUGAUGUAAACAUGCUGAAGCUCCCGCUGCCUGCUGGCCUCCCAUCCUGGAGUGCCCUCUUUUCUGCCAGCACCCAUGAAAAUGUUGAGGGCUAACACACAUGCAACCUCAAACCUCAGUCUGCUUUCAGUUCUUGACAAAGAUAAGUGUCUACAACUAAAUUUGAUAUGACAUAUUAGUGAGUUUUAAACCACUAUUAAUUCUGCACAUAUAACACCUGGAUAUCAAGCAACUUUGAUUUGAAAAAGAAAAUUAAGUUGGACGUUCUUAUUCUUGAUUGAAUAAGACGUUUGCGCUAUUGCCUAAGUCUGCAGUGGCACACCACAGAGGUCCGUGAGUCUGCAGGAUUGGUGAGCGGGCCUCUGGGUGUUGGGAGGGAAUGAAUGUCCUCGAGAAGUUUCUGACCUUCCUACCUUUUCCAGAAGGGGAGAGGCUCUCUGGCUGUGGGGUCACCCCUGCCGUCGUUACUGUGGAGGGUGGCGCUGGCCUUUGGUGAACCAGGGCAGGGUCUCCUAGAGAGAGGAUAACCACAUGGCACUUAUGAUCCUGAGCCUGGAACCUGGGCUGGCUUCAGAACGGGAUACAAAUAAAAUAUAUCAACACAUGAACUUACAGUGGAGGCCUCUGGCUUCCUCAGACAGGUUAAAAGCAUAAGAAACAAUGUUUCCCCACCCGAAUGCAAAGAUAGACUGCAAACUAUUUUUCUUGCAUUUCCAAAAAGACUGCACAAGUUAAAUAUCAAAUUUAUUUUGGCUGAGAUUAUAUUAAUGAUAUCAAUUCAAUUUUAUAAUGCUGGUUAUUCUUGGGAGAAUAAAUGAUCACUCAAUAGAUUCUAUUUUGUUUGUUUGAGACAGGGUCUUGCUCCGUUGCCCAGGUUGGAGUGCAGUAGUGUGAUCACAACUCACUGCAGCCUUGACCUCCCGGGCUCAAGAGAUCCUCCUGCCUCAGUCUCCUGAGUAGCUGGGACUACAUGUACGUGCCUCAAUGCCCAGUUUUAGGACUCGAGAAGACAUCUGGCCUCUUCUGUCUCCUGCAUUGACACCGCCUGUGUUCAGGAUUUCAUCACCACCCACCAGAACGAUUUCAAAAACCUCAAUGCAGCUCCUAUUCUCUGGAGUCUCCUGACUACAGUUCAUUCUUCACACUCUGAACAAGAGCAACCUUUCCACCAUGCAGCUCCAGUAAUGCUCCCCUGCACAGAAACCCUCAGGGACUCCCCACUGCACAGAAGGGAAUCAUGCCUUUCCAAGAAGAAGCAUUCAAAUCACAUCAACUAUGUCCAAUGAGCAACACUGAUAUGACUCCCACGAUAUAUACUGAGGAGUUUCAUAUAUAUUUAUUCAUUUAGAUACAUAUUAUUAUUACUGUUAUUAUUUUUAUUGUUAUUUUUGAGACAGAGUCUCGCUUUGUCGCCCAGGCUGGAAUGCAGUGGACAAGUGUUUGUGAGUUGGACAAGCUUUCGUAAAGUCAUGAAAACAUUGCCAGACAAGAUCAGCUAUAAUUAAAGAUGAAUUAGAAAAAACUCCAAAAUUCUGGAUCUUAAUUGUGCUAUUUCUUUUGUAAUUUUAUUUAUUUACUUUUCUUAUUACAAAACAAUUCAAAUUAUGGCAGAAAAAUAAGAAAGGGCAGACAACUGCAUACAUGCCCACAUAUGACCAACACAUGACAUCUUCCCCAUUCAAUGACAACUACUUCUUGAUCUUCUUCUAGUAAAAAAAUGAAUCAUAUGAUGUCUACUACUUGAAAACAACUCCAUUUUAUUUACUCAGUCCUCCGCUGUUUAAAAUUUAUGUUGAUUUUGACAAAUCUCAUGUUUUAUACACUCACGUUUUCACCACUUUUUUGCUAUCAGUAGAGGCAAAGAAGCAGUAACAACUAGAUAAAAUGGAUAGGAAAUAAAAAAUAAAAGGUUUGGGAAAAGACCCCUAAAGUUCUGAAAAAUGGCUUAAAAAUACUUAAAGACACAUGAAAAGUUGUGAAAACAACCCCAAGUGCACUUACACCUUACAUAAAAAAAGCGAACUGAAAUUGGUGGCUAGGGAUAUUUGUCUUCAAACAAAGCAGUCUUCUCAGUUGCUUCUGGCCAUCGCCCGCAAUCUUUCAGACUGAAAUGCUCUCUAAGAAGUCAGUGACCUUCUACCCAACAUAAUGGACGCCCCUGCACAUCAGGCCUUUUAAAUAAGAACAGACUGGCAACAACUUGUUGUGCAUAGUAGCACAAGAAGGAGACUUUGCACCUUAGUGAUAUUGAUUUGUCCAACCCAUGAACAUGGUAUAUCUCUCCAUUGAUUUUGUUCCUUAAUUUCUCUAAGCAAUGCUUUGUAGUUUUCCAUAUAUGAAAGAUGUCUUUCACAUCUUUUGUUAGAUUUAUCCGUAAGUAUCUAAUGCUUUUUAAUGUUAUUUCAAAUGACUUUUUAAAGUUUUUUAAUUUCUAAUUGUUCAUUGUGAAUGUAUAGAAAUAGAACUGAUUUUUGUGUAGUGGUGUUUUGUAUACUGCAACCAACUUAGACACAUAUGGCUGACUGAUGUUCAAAAGGUAUAAGAGAAGGUCAGUGAAGAUAAUCUUUUCAAUAAAGGGUGCUGGAAUAAUUGGAUAUGCAUAUAUAGAAACAAACAAAAUCCCAAAACAACCUUUAAUUCAUGCCUCACAUUAUAAACAAAAAUUAAUUCAAAAUGGAUCACAGCCAUAAAUGUAAACCCUAAAGCUAUAAAACUUCUAGAGGAACACAUAGAAGUAAACCUUUGUAACCUUAGGCUAGGCAAAUAUUUCUUAGAUAUGACACCAAAAGCCCAAAACACAACAUAACAAAUUAAUAAAUUAGACUUCAUAAAAAUUAAAAACUUCUGCUUUUCAAAAGACACUGCUAAGAGAAAGGAUAAGCCACAGAAUCUGAGAAAAUAUUUGCAAAUCAUAUACCUGAUUAGGGCCUCGUAUCCAGAAUAUAUAAAGAACUCUCAAAAUUCAGUAAUGAUACAAUUCAAUUUUUUAUACAUAAGACAGAGUCAGAAA